AGGACGAACGCUGGCGGCGUGCCUAACACAUGCAAGUCGAACGCGCUCCAUUCGGUAGCAAUACUGAUGAAGAGUGAGUGGCGAACGGGUGAGUAACACAUGAGCAACCUGCCCCGAAGACUGGGACAACACCGGGAAACCGGUGCUAAUACCGGAUAUCCCUAUCGGACCGCAUGAUCUGAUAAGGAAAUGGAUUCCGCUUCGGGAGGGGCUCGUGGCCUAUCAGCUAGUUGGUGAGGUAACGGCUCACCAAGGCAUCGACGGGUAGCUGGUCUGAGAGGACGAUCAGCCACACUGGGACUGAGACACGGCCCAGACUCCUACGGGAGGCAGCAGUGGGGAAUCUUGCGCAAUGGGCGAAAGCCUGACGCAGCAACGCCGCGUGGAGGACGAAGGCUUUCUGAGUUGUAAACUCCUUUCAGCAGGGACGAUAGUGACGGUACCUGCAGAAGAAGCACCGGCCAACUACGUGCCAGCA
rnacentral:rRNA from 1 species